GAGGCACAUGACAGUCUGGGCCCAGGCCAGGGCUCAAUGAGGAGCCAGAGCGUCCCGGCCUGCCUGGACUCCAGCCGGGACCUCCCACGCGAGACUCAUUCAUCUACGCCCAGGAUUCUCAAAGAACCCUGGCCCCAGCCUGCUCCCUGUUACGUGCUAAGCCCCAAGCUUACCCAUGCCUCCUGCCAUGGGGACCAGAGAAUGUGAAGACCACCAGGGAGACCCGCCCUGGAGACCAUGGUGUGCUGCUGACUCAGGGUGAGGCAGUUCCCUGAGGAGGGAGCGAGCCCCAGCCACCCACAGGAGUGUCUUCCAAGGAAGUGGAGGUGGAGGGAGACCAAGGCAAGCCCUGAAGAGUACCAGGUGUGGAGAAGGACAGAGGGGAGAUCCCACAUCCAGGCUCUUCUGGGAUGCGUGUGGUCUCUCCACGGACAAAGCUUAAGUGACUGGGGACAGGAGUCCACUCUAAGAACCUCUGCCUGCCCUCAGAUCUCCGUGGCAAGUGAGGGCUACAUGACCCCUUUGUGCUGCGAAGGCGCAUCUCAGGACACUGACCUGCAUGUGCCCAGGCUCAUGGUGUCGGCAGAGAAACUGUGGCCCACAGGGAGCUGCCACACUUACCCUGACUUCCCCAGCGGGCCCAGCUCAGGAGCAGAGGCCGAGCAACACAGGCUGAUCAGGCCACCAUCACAAUUGGCCUCUGUGCCCAGGGGGUCCCUGCAGCCACCAUCAGGAAAGCUCCCACCCUGGGGACAGAGUCUCUCCUGCCUCCUGUUCUUCCUGGGGUCAGAGACUUGCUCCUGAUCAAGGGUAAGCAGGUGCAUGGGCUGGUGCCACUAGCUCGGUGCAGUGGCUCCCCUCUGCUCCCAUGAAGGGCCUGAGAGGUAUUUCAGGGCUCUGAGCAUGGACUCAGCCAAACACUUGGGCAGGAGGGAUGGUAUCUUGUUGCCUUCAGGGCUUGGAGUGAGAGAAAGAGGACCUGACAGACCCGUGGGAGACGAGCGUGAAGACAAAGCAAUGACCCCAGAUAGGCCAGUCGCAAAUUCCGGGAGAGAUCCGCGGACCCUGGAGUUUCACCUGGACCUUGAGAGACAGAAUUUGAAUAUUGUGGAGAUUAAUGAAACAAAACACCACAGGAGCAAAGGCCUGAGUGAGGCUGGCCCUCUGGGGCUGCUGUAUCUGGCCAGCUGGUGGGCAUGGAGGGCCCACCCCACGGGGGAAGCCAGGCAAAGAAAGAAGGCUGGAGGCGGCCGGAAAAGAAGCAGGUGUCAGGCGACGUUUGAAUUGAUUUUCAGCACUAGGGAGCCAGCUCCGAUCAGGGAGUGGCGUGAGCAGAACUGCCUUCUGGAGAAGGCCUUGAAACCACCUUUUCAAAAAUGGUAACAGUGAGAAAAUUAUGACAGUUAAAGAGAUCUCAGCUAACCUACCCCCAAUCUUCCCUUUCCCUUCGUUAUUCCUGGGCUAUUGGGCCGAGCGAAUUUUGGAAGACAUGUAGGCUGUAGUUUAAAUGAUAACAGGCCUUGUCCCCAAAACUCAGCCACUUUUGUAAAGCUAUUGAGAGGCCAUCAGGCUUGGGGGAGGAGAGGACCCUGACUUCUGCUAAGGGGCAGGACUGUCAGCCGUGUUGCUGGAGGUCAGAAGACAUGCGACUUCCCUAAUUACUCCUGCAAAUAACGCCAGUGUUGUGAACCUAAGGUUGACCUUCUGAGGUACCUUUUCAGGCUUUGUGCAUGUCUGACACCCAUGGCUCCACCCCACGUGGACCCGCCAACCUUGCCCCUGUGGCCCCACACAGAAGUGAUUCAGCACCCAGGAGGACAGCUUCGACCCCCUAAGAUUUCAUCUCCGCCCAACCAAUCAACAGCAAGCACCUGUUACCUGGCCACCCCCAACCCUUCCCCCAAACUGCCUUUGAAAAACCCCUAACCUGCAAGCUUUGAAGAUGAUUUCAGUACUAACUCUGUCUCCCACAUGGUGUGGCGGGCCUCGGGUCUGUUAAAUUCUUUCUUUACUGCAAUUCCACGACCUUCAUUCAUGCAGUGGGCAGGAAGAACUCCUCCAGUGAUUACAGCCUGGGGUGCAGGGUCCGGAUGGACGGAGCAGCACCUGGAGAGGACCGUUAACCCUCUGUCAUCCAUGUGUGGCUAGGUGAGUGAUGCAGCCAGACCCACGGCCGUAUCUGCCUGCAGGACCCGCCUGAGUCCUCAGCCACAGACCCAGGUUUCUAAGCCAACCCAGAGGGGAUGCAGAGCCCUCCCUUUGGAGAGCCAAGAUCCUGCUGAACCUAGGAAGGUACUGAAAUACCAGCAGAGAGCUCACGGAGCAGCCAUGGCCAGGGCUCAGGCACUGCCUGCGGCCCACCCUGGAGCUCCCAUGCCCACCUGUCUCAUCUUUCCAGAACUGGCCCGUCUCUGCAGAGUUGGCAGCAGCUCCUCCUGCCAGCUGAGAGCCAGCUCCAGGCCUCCUUGGAUUUUCCCAGGCAGAGCCCAAGGCCUAGGUGCCAAGUCCGAGUCCCAGUUCUUCUUGGCAGGCCCGGCCCCUGUUUGUCUUUGGGUUUUUUAACUUUUUAUUUUGGAAUCAUUACAGACAAGUUCCAACGAUAGUACAGAGAGUUCGUUCCCAUGUACCCUCACCCAGCUUCCACUAAUGUUAACGUCUUAUAUAACCAUGGUACACUUGUAAAAGCAAAGAAAUUAACAUUGGAACAAUACUAUUAAUUGAACUACA